rnacentral:rRNA from 1 species
AUACGUAGGGUGCGAGCGUUGUCCGGAAUUACUGGGCGUAAAGAGCUCGUAGGUGGUUUGUCGCGUCGUCUGUGAAAUUCCGGGGCUUCACUCCGGGCGUGCAGGCGAUACGGGCAUAACUUGAGUACUGUAGGGGAGACUGGAAUUCCUGGUGUAGCGGUGAAAUGCGCAGAUAUCAGGAGGAACACCGGUGGCGAAGGCGGGUCUCUGGGCAGUAACUGACGCUGAGGAGCGAAAGCAUGGGUAGCGAACAGGAUUAGAUACCCUGGUAGUCCAUGCCGUAAACGGUGGGCGCUAGGUGUAGGGGUCUUCCACGACUUCUGUGCCGUAGCUAACGCACUAAGCGCCCCGCCUGGGGAGUACGGCCGCAAGGCUAAAACUCAAAGGAAUUGACGGGG